UCCUAGGGAGGCAGUGGAUGUCCUGAAUCGGGGAUUGGAGGCCGUGAUGGGUUGGAUGUGGGCUAAUAAACGGAGACUGAAUCCGAACAAGACAGAGGAAAUUCGCCUAGUCAACAAGUGGCUUUCCUACUUGAGUGAGGACAGUACUCCUGCCAUCACUUGAAAAGUGGCGGGCUUUUGUGCGGCAGCUCGAAGAAUGCGUCAGUUUUUAAUUAAUAAUUCUAGUGCUGCUUUAUAACCUUUUAGUUAUAACAUUGUUGUUGAAGUAUCUUCUUUAUUGAUAUAUGAAGUCCUUUUUUACUCCUCCAUCAUCAGACUGCUACUUUAUAGAAGUGCCUGAAACGUGUGGACUGCUAUGAAAAGUGUUACCAAAAUGGAUUAUAGCCCUGUCAUUUAAUGUAUUGUGCUGUAUAAAAAUUAAAAUUUACA